rnacentral:rRNA from 1 species
GAUGAACGCUGGCGGCGUGCUUAACACAUGCAAGUCGAACGGUGAAGGCGGAGCUUGCUCUGCUGGAUCAGUGGCGAACGGGUGAGUAACACGUGAGCAAUCUGCCCCUGACUCUGGGAUAAGCGCUGGAAACGGCGUCUAAUACUGGAUACGAGCUGCGAAGGCAUCUUCAGCAGCUGGAAAGAAUUUCGGUCAGGGAUGAGCUCGCGGCCUAUCAGCUUGUUGGUGAGGUAAUGGCUCACCAAGGCGUCGACGGGUAGCCGGCCUGAGAGGGUGACCGGCCACACUGGGACUGAGACGCGGCCCAGACUCCUACGGGAGGCAGCAGUGGGGAAUAUUGCACAAUGGGCGGAAGCCUGAUGCAGCAACGCCGCGUGGGGGACGACGGCCUUCGGGUUGUAAACCUCUUUUAGCAGGGAAGAAGCGAAAGUGACGGUACCUGCAGAAAAAGCGCCGGCUAACUACGUG